rnacentral:rRNA from 1 species
UGGGGAAUCUUGCGCAAUGCGCGAAAGCGUGACGCAGCAACGCCGCGUGGGGGAAGAAGGCCUUCGGGUUGUAAACCCCUUUCAGGAGGGACGAAGCGUGGACGGUUAAUAGCCGAUUCACGUGACGGUACCUCCAGAAGAAGCCCCGGCUAACUACGUGCCAGCAGCCGCGGUAAUACGUAGGGGGCAAGCGUUGUCCGGAAUCAUUGGGCGUAAAGCGCGUGUAGGCGGUUCGGUAAGUCGGCUGUGAAAGUCCAGGGCUCAACCCUGGGAUGCCGGUCGAUACUGCCGGACUAGAGUUCGGAAGAGGCGAGUGGAAUUCCCGGUGUAGCGGUGAAAUGCGCAGAUAUCGGGAGGAACACCAAUGGCGAAGGCAGCUCGCUGGGACGUUACUGACGCUGAGACGCGAAAGCGUGGGGAGCAAACAG